CCACUGGUCUAGACUAUGGGAAAUGAUAAGGACUUGAGAGGGAACUAUUUUUUUUUUAAAUAUAUUUUUAUUGAUUUCAGAGUAAGGGAGAGACAGAGACAGAAAUAUUGACGGGAAUCAUUGAUUAGCUGCCUCCUGCAUGCCCUAUGGUCAAGCCCACAACCUGGGCAUGUGUCCCGACUGGGAAUUGAACUGUGACCUCCUAGUUAAUAAGUCGACGCUCAACCACUGUGCCAAGCCAGCUGGGCUGGGAGCUGCUAUUUUAUGAAAUUUCAAAACCUUAGGAAUAAAGUGAGUCAAGUGGAAAGCUAGAAUUCCUGCAAGGGAGGACAAAAACCACAAAGUAAAUAGGAAGGUAGGGAGAAAGUAAUGAAGGGCCUCAUCACUGCUGUGGGGAAAUAGCAAGGUGUGUGUGUAAUUUUAAGGGGGGAAGACUACUUGUAAUAAUCCAAGUAGUAACUAAUACUAAGUGGUAGAGUGGAGAUGGUGAUUCUGGAUGCGCUUUGAAGUUUGCUAAGAUUUGUUCAUUCCAGGUUUGGGCAACCAUAAAGCAGCACAUUUACUGGAAAGACCACUUAGGAAAAUCAGAAGUUCCUUUUGGGACCUAUCAAGCACUUGUCACAAAAGGGAGACUAUUUGAAGAAUAAAAAUCUUUUGGCCUUUCAAGACUGUUUGCACUAGUAUCAGUUUUAUUGGUCUGUAUCGGGAAUAUUGCUGUAUGUUCACUACACAUGGGGAAGCUUGAGACAGUUGUGGGUAUCUAUCCAGGCAGCUCUUCUCCCUCCUUCCUAAUAUAAGCCAUUUUGUUUCAGGGGAUGUUUGGCUGCUCUCUGAUAACAAGGAUGAAUCUUGAAUCAUAAGAUAGUUGUCAAUUGGGGUGUUUUUGAAAUCCUUGAAAGGCUUAGUUAACAAUGAUUAGGAGGUUCUAGAGGUGUUUAGUGGUCAAGGGCCAACCACAGGUGCUAAACAUCUAUCUAUAUACAUAAAACCCUAAUAUGCAAAUAGACUGAACGACUACACAACUGGUCACUAUGAUGUGCACUGACCACCGGGGGCACAUGCAGAACAUGGUGGGAGCCACAGUGGGAUGAGCUGGGUGGGGGUAUGGAGGAUGGGCAGAGACCUACCCUUGUGCCCACUGCAGCCUUGUGGCCCAAAGUUCCUUUUAAGGUGCACGGAUUCGUGCACUGGGCCCCUAGUCCAGUGAUGGCGAACCUUUUGAGCUUGGCGUGUCAGCAUUUUGAAAAACCCUAACUUAACUCUGGUGCCGUGUCACAUAUAGAAAUUUUUUUUUAUAUUUGCAACCAUAGUAAAACAAAGACUUAUAUUUUUGAUAUUUAUUUUAUAUAUAUUUUUGAUAUUUAUUUUAUAUAUUUAAAUGCCAUUUAACAAAGAAAAAUCAACCAAAAAAUGAGUUUGCGUGUCACCUCUGACAUGCGUGUCAUAGGUUUGCCAUCACUGCCCUAGUCUAACAAUAACAUGCCACAAAACAAUCCUUCAUAAAUUAUUGCACAGGGCCACUAGUUUCCCACCAAGUGUCCAUCUGGCUGAGAACUUGAACCUAGAAUUUAUUUUUUACGAGAAUCUCAAGAAAGUAUUUACAUGGCUGUCAAUGACCAAUUUUCCAGGAAUGUAAUUAUCAUGUAAACAAUGUCCUUCACGUUACAGUACUGUAUUAAUUUUUAAAUGAUUUGAGAGAGGAAGAGAGAAACAUCAAUAUGUUGUUCCACUUAUUCAUGCAUUCAUUGGAUACUUGUAUAGACCCCAACUGUAAUUUGAUCCCACAACCUUGGCCUACUGGAAAGACACUUUAGCCAACUGAGCCUACCCCGCCAGAGCCUCAUUGUAUUGAGUUUUAAAUAUUUAUGAGUUACAUUUCUAAAUAUCACCACAAAAUAAAAGGCAUGACCUCUGAUGGGAUCUAAGUCCUAUGUUCUUAAGAAUCCUGCAGGCAUGACAUACAAUAAAUCUUUUGGGAGACUUUUGGGGAAAAAUUCUUAACACUUAGAUAUAAGAAAGAUGCAGUCACCUUUCUGCUUCUGAAGUUGUCAGCACGUGGUAAUUAGAACUACAUCAUAAUUUAAGAUAAGACUAGCCAUGCGCUGAGGGUGAAAGCAAAUAUGGUAAUUACCAGUACCUAACAUUAUUGAGCCAUUAAACCUGUAACUUAGGGUUUACUACUAGAUUUAUAUAUAGCUACUUAGAACUGAAAGCAACCUGAAAAUAGUAGCCUGUUUUCAUGCUAGAGAUCUAGACUUUUAACAUUCCAAAUGAAAGAUGGAGCUAAAAGAAAUCAACAAAAAAACCUCAAACCCAAAGUUGUACUUAGCCUCACCCCUCACAAACAAGAGAUCAAGAUGCUUUUCAUAUUUAUUU